rnacentral:lncRNA from 1 species
CAAAAAAAAAAAAACUCAUAAUAUCUAUUUUUUUUUUUUGUAUAUUAUAGGGUAAACUCUGACGAUAACUUUUUUUUAAAUUUGCUAUUUCUGUAAUUUUGAAGAUUGUAAGUGACAUCAAUUUAUUAUCAUAAUUUCUUUUUAAUAUUUUUGCAAACUUCUCCUAACCAAAUGGUUCUAAAUGAAAAAUGCUCCCAAUAUAACAAAGUUUGGAUGAAAUCCUAAAAAUUUGUUGUUCUCUAAAUGCUUAAUUUAGAUACUUAUUAUUACCUAGAUGAGUUUUAUUACAGAGAAGAUGAGUUUUAUUAUAGAGAAAAACAUUCUCAGCAACCCAUUGUCAAAGAUCAAGUUGAAAAAUCUUGAUAACAAACAAUUUCACCUAUGAAUUUAAAGUUUAUCAAGAUGUUCUAUUUUUAAUUAUAAAGAUCACAAUAGUAAAUAAUUUUAAAAAUUCAUCAAGAUGUUUUAAUUGUAAUUGAAUUUUAUCACUAUCUACUUUGUUAUCUUGGAUAGACGACACUAAUAGAGUUUUAUCGCUUCCUAUCCAAAGUAGGCAAUGCAAAGUUCUAUCUACGUUCCUCUUCUUUUUCUUUUUCUUCUUCUAUUUCAACUUUUUCAUCAUCUUGAACUUCAAUUUCUUCUGUCGCAAGCAUAUAAUGGAAAGUAAGAAUUUUUAAAAGCUUGUAUAGUAAUUUGGGACAAGAAAGUAAUAGAAGACUAUCAUUUUUUUUUAUUCCAAACAGACAGUUGUAGGUAAUAAAAAUAGAGAACUAUCACCGUCUAUCACAUAUAGAGAUAAACCACUAUUCAUCCCAAAUAGAUAGUGAUAGAUAUGUAGUUUAAAAGAAAUUCAAACCUCAGCCAACAAUUGUCUUUUGGGUGUUUCUAAAUUUGUGGUUUUCCAAUUAUCUCAAAUCAUCUUCAACUUCAUCUAUCUACAAGCAUAUAAUGGAAAGCAACAACUUUAAAAAACUUGAUGUACAAUUACGAUAGUUUGAGAUAAGAAAGUGAUAGAUCACUAUCAUGAUUUAUUCCAGAUAGAUAGAGAUAAAUCUAUAAUUUAGAUAAUAAUUUAUUUAUUUUUAUUUAAAGAAAAGAACAUUUUUGUAGUUGUACAUGACUGGACUGUACUUGUUGUUGUGCUUUUAAAAUGUUCAAUACAAUGUAAAUAUUUUACUAAAUUGUUAUAUUUUUGAAAAGAAUAACAAAUAAUUGAGUUGAUAAGAAAGAUGACAAAAAGAAUUAUAUAGGAAGAUUGUAGUUUGAUCGAGUUUAGAUUGAAAAUAACAAAAAUACCAAAUAAUAAACUAUCUAAUUGUAAUUAAGUACAGAAUAGUAACAAUUAUAAUAAUUCAUACUAUCUAAUUGUCCCACUAAAUUAUUGGUGAGUCGGCGGUGACCCCAAUGCCUUCUAACCCACCCAUGACAAUUGGAGAGGUUGGUUGCAAAGAGUGAUAUGUAUUAUUAGAGGAUGUGACAACACAAACAAAUAUCAUUUUUAUUAUAUUGUGAUGGUCCACAAGAUAGAAAGAAAAAUGAAGUAGAUCAUAUCAUGAAAUGAGAAAAGUAUAGAGUAUAGAAGUUUGGGAGGUAUUUGAUAAAGGAAAUGACGUCUUGGAGUGGUCAAAUUUAAUGUUUAUUUUAUUAUAAUAUGACCAAAAAAAUUUUAAAAAAAUUGGGGGAAAGAAGAAAAGAAGAAUUUUAGUUCUUAAUGGUGGGCGACAAAAAAGAAUACUAAUAAUAAUGAUAACAUUAAAACUGACGUGUAAUAUGAUAAUGCUAGGAAAGGGUCAAUUAGGGUGGCGUGACCUCUAAGUCGUAGAGUUUAGGUUAUUGUAAAAAGUGGUUCUAAAACAAUAUUUUCUAAUACACUCAAAUAAUAAUAUUUAUUAAGUAUAAUUUCUUUUACUUACAUAUAUCUUUAUUCUCUGUUAUUAUUAAGUGAUACAAUGUUAUUCUUUUUUAUUGAAGACAAUAACAUUUUUAUAAACGUAAAUAGUUCAAUAUUUUUUUUGUCAUUUAUUUUUUCAACUGUUACGAUAGAAAUUGUGUCUACUCUAAGAAAAAUGUAAAUAGUUUAUUGUUGGUGUGACUAUUGACAUUCAAAAAAUUGAUCUGAAUGAAUUGAUACUUGACGGUCGAUUUAAGGAAGAGAUUUUUAAAAAAUCGAACCAACUCAACAAAUGGUCCUACCCUCUCUAUGGCACGAUAUAAAUAUGCAUAAGAAAAACAAUUUUUUUUAAUCAAUUAAACCUAUGUUUUUCUCUUAAAAAAUUUCUCAUGUUAAUUGGUUCCCACAAACCUUCUGACCAGUGGUGUUCAGUUUUAGUAGAUUCAAAGUGUCAAAAUAAGUUUUCUUUCUUUAAUCUAUAAUUAGAAAGUAUGCUUAACCACAAACAAGACUUGAUAUUUGGGCAUUAUAACCACAAAGAAGACUUUUCGGAUUUUGAUUCUUUCGUAUCUUCAUACAAAAAAUGGAAUCAUAGCAUUAAGAAGUUUUAAACUUUUUAGUACACAUAUCCGUUACGAGCGGUAUUUGGGUGUUUCUGUUUGAGCCGUACGAGACGAAAUUCUCAUAUACGGUUCUCAGAGGGGGGUCCCCUUGGUUUACCUAUCUCAAUAAAGUGUAUGAUUGGUUCGAAGAACGUCUUGAAAUUCAGGCGAUUGCGGAUGAUAUAACUAGUAAAUACGUUCCUCCUCAUGUCAACAUAUUUUAUUGUCUAGGAGGAAUUACGCUUACUUGUUUUUUAGUACAAGUAGCUACCGGGUUUGCUAUGACUUUUUACUACCGUCCGACCGUUACUGAGGCUUUUGCUUCUGUUCAAUAUAUAAUGACGGAAGCAAAUUUUGGUUGGUUAAUCCGAUCAGUUCAUAGAUGGUCGGCAAGUAUGAUGGUCUUAAUGAUGAUCCUGCACGUAUUUCGCGUGUAUCUUACUGGUGGAUUUAAAAAACCUCGUGAAUUGACUUGGGUUACAGGUGUGGUUCUGGCUGUAUUGACCGCAUCCUUUGGUGUAACUGGUUAUUCCUUACCUCGGGACCAAAUUGGUUAUUGGGCAGUCAAAAUUGUAACAGGUGUACCGGAAGCUAUUCCAGUAAUAGGGUCGCCUUUGGUAGAGUUAUUACGCGGAAGUGCUAGUGUGGGACAAUCUACCUUGACUCGUUUUUAUAGUUUACACACUUUUGUAUUACCUCUUCUUACUGCCGUAUUUAUGUUAAUGCACUUUCCAAUGAUACAUAAGCAAGACAUCUCUAGUC